rfam:Tupaia chinensis contig11629, whole genome shotgun sequence.
GCUUGCAUCACCACACAUAGACUAAAAUUGGAAUGAUUCAGAGAAGACUAGCAUGCCCCCUGCACAAGGAUGACACAUACAUUUGUGAAGUAUUCCAUAAUUUG